ACCUUCCUAAACCCCUCCCCAAGCAUAAACCCAAGACGCUGCCGAGUUUUAAAAUUUCUUUAAGCAAAAAUAUGUAUCAGUGAUUAAAAAUCGUAGCUUUGCUAAUUUUAUUUCUUCCACAGAAACCAGGAUUUUAGGAACAACAGAAAAAUGAAGGGUGAAGAAAGCAGAUUUCCACGGAUGACCAGUAGCCCUGGAUUUUCAGGAAUUCCUCAUUCGAUGGGGUUUUCUGGCACUGCCUCCUCCCCAGGCUGCACAUGGAAGGCAGAAUGAUGGGAGUAUAAAGAUCCUGGGCUGUUGCAUCCGAUGGCAGAACAGCUGCUCAAUUAUUUCCCGCUGUCAGCAGCGAUGUAAAGGGAUUCAGGAACUGGACAUAAAACAAAAUCUGGACAAUGCAGGACUUGGCUCAUUCGUGUGGAGCACGCUAAGAACCAGCCCCAGCUGCACUGAGCUGUUAAUUUAAAUUAUUUUAAUGAGGAGAGGGAAGAAAGGACCUGAGGUGCAGCAUAAAUGUGGGAAAAAACCUCCUCCAGCUCAUUCCCUUCCAAAUCCCACGCAAAUUCCUCUGGAAAGGCCAGGCAGGACAGGUUGGAAAUGGGACAAGAUUGGGGUUGGCUGUGGUGGGAUCAGGACCAGCUUCUUGUCAUCUCUGCAAUAUCAGAAUUUGUCAAGAGCUUGCAAAAAACUCCCGAGCAAGGGAAGUCCUGGAUUAAAAACAUUCUGAUGUGCUGCUUGUGUUUUUCAGCACCUCUGAACACAAAGAUCUUCCCAGAAGGGUUUAAAAACAUAAAGCUACCUAAAAAUCCUCUUUAAAAUCAAAAUAAACAAGCAUUAAAUCCAUUUUCACUUCCAGUUUUGCAGUUUCCAUCCACAGAAGUGUAAUUGGGGAUCAAUGGGGUUUAAUUGGCUCUUGCUCACCUUGCACUUCUGUUUCAGGUGGGCAGAAGGAUCUGUAAAAACUCAAAUUCUCCAAGGUGGAGCCUGUUUCUGAUUCCUCUGGAGAGGUUCGUGGGUGGUGAGAGGUGAAAAAGGAGGAAUUUGGUUGUGUUUUGAUGCUGGGGUGUCCAUAAGCCAGGAAUUUUUGGGACAAACAUCCAUCUUUGUGCAGGAUGUGUCCCAGAUCCUUCUGCAGGAAAAUCCAAAGCAUUGGCUGGACUUGGAGCAUGGAUUUAAAUAGCAGAGGAGAAAGAAAGUUCUUCACUCAGAGGGGCUGGGAUGGAAAUCCCAGAGCAGAUUCGGCUCCCAUGGAUUCCUGGAAUAUCCAAGUCCAGGUUGGACAUUGGGGCUUGGAGCAGCCUGGGGCAAUGGGAGGUGUCCCUGCCAGGGAAGGGAUGGGAUGGGAUUUAAGGUCCUUCCCAACCCAAGCCAUUCCAGAAUUCUGUGAUAUCUAAUCCAGGAUCAGAUCAGCAGCUCCUGGUCAUCUCUUUUAAACUGGAAAUUCAAUAUUUUUCACUUAACAGGAAAAAUUCAGAAAUUAAAUUAUUCAGAAAUGAUUCAACCUUUCCUUUGCUGCUCCUUUUUGGGGAUGGUUCCAUGCAGGGCCUCAAAGAUCCCUGAGGGGUCCUUCCAACUCAGCGGAUUCUGGGAUUUUGAAUGGAAA
ensembl:lncRNA